UGCUCUCAAGGGCUGUCUUCGCUCCUCCAGCUCCCCCAAGGAUCUCUUGCCCCUCCAUUCAUCCGCGGAUUCCAAGAUGCCUUGCUUCCCUGGCAUCAGAAACCUGGAGACCCUCUCUGCAGUACUACACACCACAGUGUGAGAAUGCAAGAAAUAGUCUGGGUGUUGUGGUACACACUGGGAAUCCUAGCACAUCAGAAAUGGAGGUAGCAGGAUCAAGAGUUUAAGGAGUCUCCUAAGGCUACAACAGUGUGCUCAAGGUCAGCCUGGACUGCAAGAGAACCUUUCCCAAGACGUCAAUAAAGAUGCCGGAGUCCUUUCUGAA